ensembl:snoRNA SNORD66 small nucleolar RNA, C/D box 66
UUCCCCUGAUGACUUCUUAUUAGUGCCACGUGUCUGGGCCACUGAGACCCCGUGAUGGAACUGAGGAUCUGAGGAA